rnacentral:lncRNA from 1 species
GAAAGAUGGUAAGAAGCCAAUUAGAUGGAUGGAUGGCUGACUGACAGCUCUCUGGUAUUACGACUCCAGAUUUCAGACUACAUAGCCUGGCAGUUUUCUACAAGAACCAACUUUUUUGCAGGUUGGUAAAGCUGUUAAAUGUGGAACUAUAUAUAGCGCUAUAUAAAUUUUGCAAAGUUGUACAUUUUCCUUAAAUAAGCAUGUAUUCUUUUCAAUCAGGGUUUGCAUUAAACAAGUUUUCACAAUUUAAUCACAACUUGUGUCACUAAAUUUAGCAGUAUUAAAAUUCUAGACAACUUGUAGGCACAUUAGCUGUGCCAGUAGAGAAGUGAUUAAAAAGCUGAGAGCCACGUUGAGCCAGCAGAGAUAAAGUGAACUAAUAAUUAGAAUGUCUGUGCAAAUAUGCCUUUGGAACUUUGAAAUGUACAUUGUUUGGUUUUAAGCAACUAAAAGCAUAAACCCUAAACUUCCUCUCCGUCUUUAGCUUCUACACACAUAUAUUUGCCUAUUAUCCUUGUUCAAAGUCUAAUAUAUGCUUGUGUGUCUGCUACUUCAGCUAUUUGGAGAUAAAAAAAAAAUAAAAUAAACUGUUAGGCUCAAGCUUCCAGUUUGGCCGGGAUAUUCUAUAGCUUCUAACCAAUGGGAAUUAACUCUUCAUAUUACCCAAUUUGGAACCUUAAUGAAUGUUUCUUGUGCGUUGCACGCUGUGAUGUGUAUGUUGUAUAUAUACAGACACAGACACACACAUUCAUGCACACAGUUAUGCUUUUUCAGAAGCAAACCAUUUGCUAUUAGAGUGACAUGUCUCCAUCUGUAGUUUAAAAUAAGAGAAUUUUCUUUCAAAUCAUAAUGAUACCUCAGAUUCAUCCAGCAUUUUGAAAUAGUAAGGGAAGGCAAUUAUUUCACUAUAAACUGAAUUUUAGUAAGGAGCAUUAACCCAAAGGAAAAUUGCAAAGUGUAUUUUCUUACUGUGGGGAAUAGAUGUAUAAACUGAAAGUGGAUAGGAAACCAAUCGUGGGUCCAAAUUCCUUUAGUCACUUGAAACCAAAUAGGGUGCAAAGUUUCAUGUUUAUCACUCCCCCUCCAUUUGAUGUCAAAAAUCCAUACAGGAAACAUGAUUAAGGAUGUCUUAUCAUGUGUAUUAGUCUUUCCUUAUUUUUUCUUUUUUGCCUGGGCUGGCAUUAUCUGUGCUUUUGUUUUAUGUAGUCUUGUUACAAUAAGAUAAGCUUCUGAUACUUAUAAGCAUUCUAAAAAGUAUUCUACUUACACAUACUUAGAAAGUUUAAAUAGAAGUUCAGGGCAGGAGUGACAGUGCCAUCACCUACAUCCCAAAUCAGAGAGGAAUAAAUGCAUGUUGGUUUUUAUUUAGAAGCUUAAAGAUUUUACCUGUAGACACCAAGUACCAAGAGAAACAGAAAUCUUCUUGAAGAGAUUUUAUAAUUUUUUUAAAGAAACAUUUCCCCUCAACAGUGGAAGCCCUUAUCGAAUCAAAAUUCACGUUCAUGAUUCAACAUUUGUGCUCCCUUCUAAUUUGCUAUUGUAAAGAGGGAAAUGCUAAAAUAUAAAGUGCCCCAAUAAAAUAGGUAUUCAAAUAAGAAAAGCUUUGAAACAUUUGCUUAUUUGGUUGGACACUCAUGCUCAGAGUUUGGCUGGGGAUUUUCUCCCAUGUCCUCAGCUUACCUCAGCCAUUCAUACUUUCUACUGAUAUUUAUUUCACUUUUUGAUUCUCUUACUUAUGACACAAUAUUAAUGCACCAUAUUUUCUCAAGCUUUAGGAGAAGUUCUGUCUCUUUUGAAAAAUAAGUAGAAUUGAAAAUUGAGUAACAAUGUAUUAUAGACAGCUUUCAAAAUAACAAGUCCCCUCACUGUGGAAAACUUCUUUUGUUUCUAAACUCUGUAUUGAGAGAAUUUCUGUUUAAGGAGAAAUCUGAAGAGAAAUAUUUAUUAAAGUGAAGUGAGUACCGAAAAUCCUAGGAGACCUAUUGUAUCACUGUAGGAGAAAGAGAUAUAUUUGUAAAUAAAAGAUAAAGUGUGUUGUCAUCAAAACAAAAAGAUGCCUCCAUAAGACUUGUAGGGUUGUGCCUCGAAAAUGUAGGAAAACUCCGUGGAGCUCAUUGUUAACAUUGUGCUUAUAUGAAACUCAUUUGCAAUUUGAGUGGCUGGAAUUUGAACAUAAAUAGCAAAGAGAAGAAUAUAGACAAGUUUCUUAAAAAAUGUUUUUCUUCAGUGUAUCUGUAUUUGUAAUUGAAUAUUUGAUUAUAGAUAAACUUUGGCAGAUUUAAAACAGAAUAUUUUGAUAGCACAUAACUAUUGUAGGUCUGCCUCUCAGGUAGAGGUAUGCAAAUAAUGAUUUGAGACACAGUUUAAAAAUAAUCAAUUUUCUCUUCAGUGCAUUUUAUACUAAGUAAAAAGUAAAGGAAAGAAAAACUUAGGUAAAAAUAACUGAAGAUGUGAAUGUUAAAGUUAUUUUCCCGGGGUUUUUUUCCAGAUGGUUUAUAGAAAUGCACCUUCAAUGAUAUCUGUGGAAUACAUCUUUCUAAUCUUAUAGAAAACUGGAUUUUUUGUUCCAUGUUUAUAAGCAAUUUUUACAAGUAAAAUAACAACUGACCUUGAACAUCUUUUAAACUAUGUUAUCAAGAAAUAAUGUUGUGUAGGUUUAAACACUAAAUGUUAAAAACCAUGUCAUUAAGGAAUAAUGUUAUUUAUGUGGAAUUGCUUUUCAGCACCUCAUACACUUUUCUAAUUCCGUAAACAUCCAAAGGACCUUGCAAACCACCAGUCACAACACAGUGGUUAAAUAUUUGGCCUCCUUUACUUACUGGGUUUGGAGUACUUUCCAGAAGCCAACAUGUUACUUAAGAUCUGCCCAUCCAUCUUACCUGAUUUGGAAUGUAGUAUGGCAGUUUAUUCAUAUACAUGAAUAUAUGAAUAUUCAUAUUCAUAUAUGUGAAUAUACUGUAUACUAAUUGCAUAUAUAGUAUAUAUUAUUACUGAGCGAGAAAGGAGAGAAAAGUAAGCACUGAAGGGGCAGAGAUCCUGUGGGAAGAAGAAAUCAGCAAUGAUUCUUUGUUAUGCCAUGCUCAUAAACUGUUCAGAAUCCCAUUAAAAUGAAUGGUUUGAAUUUAAAAAAUGGUGUGAAUUUAAAAAUCCACAAUAUUAAGACAUAUACAGAAAAAAACAUAGCUUUCCAAAAGACUAAAUUGGUAUGUAGAUCCCAACAGUAAAAAACAAACAAACAAACAAAGUAAAAAAACAAAUCUUCCCCUUUCUCCCUGAAUUCUGAUGGUCUUUUUCUUAAAUCUCUUUUCAAGCAUAUCACCGUCUAUGCACUGUAACAGCUAACUGUAAGCAUUUUAAAGGCAGGAACUGCAUCUCACUUAUCUUUUUAUUCCUGCACCAAAAAUACCAACUCACAGUAGAGGCUCAAUAAUAGUGACUGAAUUUCAUGCUUUGCAGCCUUAGUUCUCAUACCUAUCCAGUUAACUGCUCAAUUGGUUACUUCCGUGUGCUCAAGUUGUGACUGGGCCAGGUAGUUUUAUUGUAUUUCUUGUGCAAACCUAAGCCAAGUUAAAGUAUAUGCCUUGAUUAUAACAAGACUGGAUGAGAAAUGAUGGGCAGAGCAAUGCUUGAAGGCAUCAUAUCACAUCAUAAGCAUUGUAAUAUUAUAAUAACUACAUCAUAAUACAUCAUCUAGCUAAGUCUGACCAUUGACUGGUCUUCUAUCCCACAGAGAACCAUAUAUACUGUUUUCCACAGCAAAACUACUCUGUGUCUGUACAUAAAGACAGCAAAAUAUUGGAAAUUUCUUAUCGUUCAACUCAAUUUUAUCUAUCCAAUUGUUCAAAACAUCCUUGAAAGGUAAAUAUUUGUUUACUAUAUUUUUUAGUUUAUUUAUGUAUUCAUUGAGAGAGGGAGAGAGUAGGGAAGGGGCAGAGAGAGAGGUAGAGAAAGAAUCCCAAGCAGGCUCUGCACUGUCAGUGCAGAACCCAAUGUGGGGCUCGAAGUCACAGUCUGUGAGAUCAUGACCUGAGGAGAAAUCAAGAGUCGGUUGCUUAACUGACUGAGCCACCCAGGUGCCCUGAAAGUAAAUAUUUUAAUUCUCAUUUGCAUAUGUGACUUUGAAGAAGUUAAGUAACUUUCCUUUGGUGUAGUAUCUAGUACAUGGCAAAAUAAAAUUUGAACUGAGACCUUUCUGAUUUCAAAGCUUGUACUCUUUCUACUGUGCCUGACUUCCUAAUAUUAAAAAUAAUAAUUCAAUUAUUAGCAUAACAAUAGUUUCUAAAUUUAAUGUGAGCGUUUCUAGAGAAAACCUAUGAUUAAAGAAGGAGUAGUGUUGUAUACCUUUGUGUAUGGACAUCGACAUUAUUUAAUUGUGUUAACCAUCAUGUCAUCAAUACACAAUAAAUAAUAUAUCUUAUUAUUUACAAGAAAAAUAAUCUGUAUAGGUACAAGCUAAUAGAUAGGGGGAAAAUGGACACCAAUCCUGUUCAUAAACCAAAUUAAGGGAGAGAAAUAAGAGAAUACAAUACAGUCUUUCCCUCUUGGGAUCUCAAAAUCUAUUGAAAAAAGACAGAAAUAACCUUAAUACAAUACUUGAUACACACAGUAUAAUAUUCUAAGAAAUAAAGUUCAUUGGUUUCCCUGAGAAAUUAAGAAGAGGCUUCAUCUGAGUUAGGCCUUGUCAGGUGACUACACAUUUACACUGACUGAGAUAGGAAAGAGAUCACUUAAGGUAAGAGGAACAGCAUGAGCCUGGAUAGGUAAGAAUGAUGGUGGCAAAUUAUCACAUGUACCUAGAGCAUAGAGUGAAGGCUGCAAGUGCAAGAUCGGGUGGGAGGCUUGUAGAAGGAUGAGUAUGUUGGGAAAUAAUCUUGGAAAAUCAGGCUAGGACACAAGAAAGGAGACUUUCCGGUGAGGCUAGUAAGUAUCCACUUUCUUCUGUAGGUAAUGGGAAGUCAUCUAUGAGCCUCACUAUGACGUGAUUGGAUUUGCGAAGUAGGAUAACUCUAAGAGCAACAUGUAGCAAAGCUAGAAAGUUUAAAAAAAAAAAAAAGGGCAGAAGACAGACCAGUAUGGGGACUGGUUCAAUUACAGUGAUGGUGACUAACCUAAACUGUGACCAAGGAUUUAUAGAGAUGAAGGUUUAACUACAGCCAGCUCUGCUUGGUUAGGAUCAAAACACCUUUUUUUUUUUUUUUUUAACAAUGAUAAUGUUUUUACUUUUAUUAGAUUUAGGUUCUAAAUUUGCUAGCAAUUGACCAGUUUGACUGUUAAGCAUAGUACUCCAUCACCAAGGAAGAGUCGGAGCAGGAAUGCAAAAUGUUUCAGUAUUUUGUUUUCCUUGGGAAAAAAAAUUAUUAUAUUAAUAUUAAUUUUUCUAUUUUUAUUUUUUCAACAGAAGGUCAUACAUAUGCUAUUUCAGAGUUCACAGCUAGCCCCUCACUACCCAAGUUGUGGGUGUUAUUGCCAGACUGCAGAGAUGCACAAGAAUUGACUUGAGAAGGAAGGAGAUUAUUCAUGCGCCCUCACACACUGUUAUCUCUGGGAACUCUUAAUCAAUGCAGGGUGAAAGCCAGUCAGCACAACUGAGGGUAGGGCACCCAGGCUGUUUAGUGGAAGAUGAAGAAUUAAAAUGUGAUUAUUACUCAAAUUGGAAUAAAAAAUAAAGAGUACAUUCCAGGAAAGAAGAGGAAGAGGAUAAUAGAACUAAAUAAAGAUUUACCUACCGAAUCACUUGCUUUAUUGUGCCUUGUCCUUGAAAUGCCAAAGACAUUACAAUAAGCUUUGAUGGGAGGGAAUGGUUUGGGGGAUUUAUACUCCAUCUGUGUUUUGCUUUUGCAGAUAUGCUGAAAUAGAAAUUCUUAAAUGCUGGGAAUGUCUACUAAGUAUACCUGGGAAUAUAGAUUAAAUCCUCUUAUGGAAAAUUGCACUAAAAUUUAAAAAUCUGUGUAUGAGCCAAAAAAUAAAUUCUAAAU